rnacentral:rRNA from 1 species
GAUGAACGCUGGCGGCGUGCCUAAUACAUGCAAGUCGAGCGAACGGACGAGAAGCUUGCUUCUCUGAUGUUAGCGGCGGACGGGUGAGUAACACGUGGAUAACCUACCUAUAAGACUGGGAUAACUUCGGGAAACCGGAGCUAAUACCGGAUAAUAUUUUGAACCGCAUGGUUCAAAAGUAAAAGACGGUCUUGCUGUCACUUAUAGAUGGAUCCGCGCUGCAUUAGCUAGUUGGUAAGGUAACGGCUUACCAAGGCAACGAUGCAUAGCCGACCUGAAAGGGUGAUCGGCCACACUGGAACUGAGACACGGUCCAGACUCCUACGGGAGGCAGCAGUAGGGAAUCUUCCGCAAUGGGCGAAAGCCUGACGGAGCAACGCCGCGUGAGUGAUGAAGGUCUUCGGAUCGUAAAACUCUGUUAUUAGGGAAGAACAUAUGUGUAAGUAACUGUGCACAUCUUGACGGUACCUAAUCAGAAAGCCACGGCUAACUACGUG